rnacentral:rRNA from 1 species
CCUUAUUGGAGAGUUUGAUCCUGGCUCAGGACGAACGCUGGCGGCGUGCUUAACACAUGCAAGUCGAGCGGUAAGGCCCUUCGGGGUACACGAGCGGCGAACGGGUGAGUAACACGUGGGUAACCUGCCCUGUACUCUGGGAUAAGCCUUGGAAACGAGGUCUAAUACCGGAUACGACCUGGGAUCGCAUGAU